rnacentral:rRNA from 1 species
GCGGCAGACGGGUGAGUAACGCGUGGGAACAUACCCUUUCCUGCGGAAUAGCUCCGGGAAACUGGAAUUAAUACCGCAUACGCCCUACGGGGGAAAGAUUUAUCGGGGAAGGAUUGGCCCGCGUUGGAUUAGCUAGUUGGUGGGGUAAAGGCCUACCAAGGCGACGAUCCAUAGCUGGUCUGAGAGGAUGAUCAGCCACAUUGGGACUGAGACACGGCCCAAACUCCUACGGGAGGCAGCAGUGGGGAAUAUUGGACAAUGGGCGCAAGCCUGAUCCAGCCAUGCCGCGUGAGUGAUGAAGGCCUUAGGGUUGUAAAGCUCUUUCACCGGAGAAGAUAAUGACGGUAUCCGGAGAAGAAGCCCCGGCUAACUUCGUGCCAGCAGCCGCGGUAAUACGAAGGGGGCUAGCGUUGUUCGGAAUUACUGGGCGUAAAGCGCACGUAGGCGGAUAUUUAAGUCAGGGGUGAAAUCCCGCAGCUCAACUGCGGAACUGCCUUUGAUACUGGGUAUCUUGAGUAUGGAAGAGGUAAGUGGAAUUCCGAGUGUAGAGGUGAAAUUCGUAGAUAUUCGGAGGAACACCAGUGGCGAAGGCGGCUUACUGGUCCAUUACU